rnacentral:rRNA from 1 species
UGAAAAAACUCAAGGCGGAUGAUGGAUGCCUUGGGGCAGGAAGCCGAAGAAGGACGUGUGAGCCUGCGAUAAGCCUCGGUGAGCUGGCACAAAGCGUUAUCAGCCGGGGAUCUCCGAAUAGGGAAACCUAGUCCAUUUGGACUACUAUACGGCCAAGUCCCCGCCUUUAGGCGGGGUAUUAACCGUAUGGAGGGAACUCAGCGAAGUGAAACAUCUCAGUAGCUGGAGGAAAAGAAAACAACGUUUAUUCCCUAAGUAGCGGCGAGCGAAAUGGGAAGAGCCUAAACCAAGCUUAGCUUGGGGUUGCGGGACUCCACAAAAGGAUAUCGCGAGAUAGCAGAACAUCCUGGAAAGGAUGGCCAAAGAGGGUGAAAGCCCCGUACGUGAAAUCUCAAAGUACCUUAGGAGGAUCCCAAGUACCACGGGACACGUGAAACCUUGUGGGAAUCGACCCGGACCACCGGGUAAGGCUAAAUACUUUCUGCCACCGAUAGUGCACAAGUACCGUGAGGGAAAGGUGAAAAGAACCCCGGGAGGGGAGUGAAAUAGAACUUGA